CCUACGGGGGACUGCAGUGGGGAAUAUUGGGCAAUGGGCGCAAGCCUGACCCAGCAACGCCGCGUGAAGGAAGAAGGCUUUCGGGUUGUAAACUUCUUUUGUCAGGGAAGAGUAGAAGACGGUACCUGACGAAUAAGCCACGGCUAACUACGUGCCAGCAGCCGCGGUAAUACGUAGGUGGCAAGCGUUGUCCGGAUUUACUGGGUGGAAGGGGCGUGUAGCCGGGUUGACAAGUCAGAUGUGAAAUCCUGCGGCUUAACCGCAGAACUGCAUUUGAAACUGUUGAUCGUGAGUACUGGAGAGGCAGACGGAAUUCCUAGGGUAGCGGUGAAAUGCGUAGAUAUUAGGAGGAAUACCAGUGGCGAAGGCGGUCUGCUGGACAGCAACUGACGGUGAGGCGCGAAAGCGUGGGGAGCAAACAGGAUUAGAUACCCUUGUAGUC
rnacentral:rRNA from 1 species